rnacentral:lncRNA from 1 species
GAAGAUGAUAACGGUCUAAAAACCGUUAUUUUUAUACUUGAAUUUGAUGUCAAAUCACAACCUUUAUGGCUUAGAAUGAGCUUAGAAUCAUGUAAAAACACUUUAGUUUGGUUUCAAGAGAGUCAAAAGUGGUUUUAGAGAUAUUAUGCUUGUUUUUACAUCGUUUUGACAGGAUUUUAUGUUAAUUGAAUGAUGGCAGUGAAGAAGAUAAUUUUAUCCUACAAACACUAAAAAACACUACACUAGAGCAGAGAAUCAGC